GACCUCGGUAGCUUAGUUGGAAAAGCAAAAGGGCGUACGUGAACAAUUAAGACCUGGGUUCGUAUCCCAGUCGAGUUCCA